GAGAAAUGUUUGUGGACGGCAGUUUUGGAGGGAAGAGGAGGUCAGAAGAUCCUUGAAAAGGAAAGAAAAGGAAAUUCUUUGUGCUGUUCUUUUAUGGUGUUCUCUCCUCCACAAGGCACUGGAUAAUGAUUUUUUUUGUGCUUUGGAAGACCGUGACAAUUGAGCCUUCAGGAGGAUUCUCAGUGCCGGACUUUAUGAAGAAUUCAAGAACCAGAACCACUGAUCGUGGGAGUGUUGCAUUGGCCAGUGGAGCCAAAUUUUUGAAGGUCCAGCUCAGAUUUCUGAUCUCCUGCACAGAUGGAAGAUACCUCAUGGGUUUCAGCCUUGGGAUGCCGAUCAUGAGCUUCACCCAUCGCCAAAGGCCUCAACCAAGGCUCCAGAGCUGGGAAGUCAGCCAGUAGGUCGUUGGGCUCCUGCUGUGCUGGGGAUGCUGCUGGUAUGUUGGUUUUCAAGCUUGCCCAAGGUGCUUCUGCUUUGCCUUGGACCCAAGCCUGUGCAUGGGCGGUCAAGCCGUGUGGUAGUGGGGAUGUCACUUGGACCGAAUGAAAGGGGAAUCUCCCACUGGCCCAGCAUCUUCCCUGAGGCUGAAGGCUCUGUGGGACAUGGUUGAAUGCCAGCCUUAACAGGCUGAAGAAAGACCGGGAUAGGCCAACAAAAUAUUGGUAUUACCUUAAUGUUUUUGGUGUUAACAGGGAUGGACAAGACCACAGGAAACUGACACAGGAGAAUUUCUCGCCUCUAAAGUCAUGAUCCUCCCCACAUUUCUUUGGCCCUUUGCCUCCUCCUCAUCUCGUUUCAUCUGUCCCUCCAUCACAAGGCUCAGUAUCCUUGAAGGCUUUACAACAUGUCUGUGGCCUGAGAGAUAAGGGUUAGGAAGGGUGAUGUCAGUGGUCCUUCUCAAACGGUGUGUACAGACCCAAAUCAUCCGUCUUUUUCUGCUGCUCCUCAGUCCUACAGGGGGAGGAGAGAGGGACACAAACAUGUGAGUGUGGCCCGGUUAACACAUCUUUUAAACAAGACAGUCCAUCAAACAAAAAUGCUAUUACAAGGUUAGCUUGCUCCUGCUGUCUUGUACUCAACAAUUUUCUUGUGAAGAGAGUAAAACCCGGAGA